AUACGGAGGGUGCGAGCGUUAAUCGGAAUUACUGGGCGUAAAGCGUACGUAGGCGGUUGGUUAAGUUAGAUGUGAAAGCCCCGGGCUUAACCUGGAAACUGCAUUUAAAACUGGCGAACUUGAGUUGAGUAGAGGGGAGUGGAAUUUCAGGUGUAGCGGUGAAAUGCGUAGAGAUCUGAAGGAACACCAGUGGCGAAGGCGACUCCCUGGACUCGAACUGACGCUGAGGUACGAAAGCGUGGGUAGCAAACGGGAUUAGAAACCCUAGUAGUCC
rnacentral:rRNA from 1 species